CAACUUAUUACUGCUGCAACUACCGAAAAACACACAUUGAUUGAUCACCUUUACAUAUCACAGCCAAACGCCUGCCUCCAAUCAGGUGUUCUGAAUACAUAUCACAGUUAUCACAACCCCAUUUAUUGUGUAAUUCACUAACACAAAAUGACUGCAAGGUUGUGAGGGAUAUGGACUUGCCAAGUGAUCUUAGUGUCUUUGCAACUGAGCACACUCUACCACCAACAAGGACAGCUCACCAGUGGGAGCUGAUAGAUAAGACUGCUCUCAUCCAUUGAAGAGCUGACCAGAAACGUGAACAGAGAGACUGCAACUGCACCUGAUGGGAUCCCUGCCAUAACAGAUGUGUUCUGUCCAGUGAAGGCAGUGGAGAAGCCCUACACUGAUCUUGAAACUGUGCCACGCUAGUAGAGACCGGCUACAAGGAUGGGCAGCUGUUUUCGCAAAGUCAGCCAACCACUUGCUUCCAAAUGACCCUUAUCCAGAAGUAUCCGUGAGUGCCUCAUCAACAGAAAAUAAAGUGGAGACCUACCUCUCAGAGAAAAACGCACACAUAAGAAAAGCCGACCCACUUCAGUACUGGGAAGAACAUCCUAAUCUGUUUCCCUCUAUGGCUGCUGUUGCGAUCCCAGUGUGCCCCCUGUAGCUCUGUGGACAGUUUUGGAUUUGUUUACAUCUCAC
ensembl:lncRNA